GUUACAUUGCCCUCCAUGAGGAGACUGCGUGGCAGGCUGACUACCUGUUAUGCAAGUGCAGCAAGGAGCCAAGAUAUUAAGAGCUCAUCAUGGAUAUCCUGCGGCCAGCCUUUCACUGAGCCUGCCAUACUGAAGCCCAAGUUCGGCACAGUUACCGACUAUCAGCUACUUCUAUUGGACAAAUGAGAUCCACCCGCUGCUGUUGCAGGAGCGCCGGGCAGUUUGGCUACUACGUCACACCCCCACUGUGCCCACAGACAGCCACACCCCCAGGGACUACACAGCCACAGACGACACAACAGUUUUCUACAACCAUCCAUCUCCCUACCACCAGCUAUAAUAACCCGGAGGCCCGUCAUUGUUACUCCUUUCCGAUGACAGCUUCCCAGGGCUACUUGUCAUCACUAUCGGGCUCCGAGGAGCAUUCCUCGGAGAUGAGGCCAUACCCCAAACUAUUUAAUAAAAUGUCAUAUUGUG